rnacentral:tRNA from 1 species
GGGGUAUUAGCUCAGUUGGCUAGAGCGCUUGACUGGCAGUCAAGAGGUCAGCGGUUCGACUCCGCUAUACUCCACAA